GAUGAACGCUGGCGGCGUGCCUAAUACAUGCAAGUCGAGCGAAUGGAUUAAGAGCUUGCUCUUAUGAAGUUAGCGGCGGACGGGUGAGUAACACGUGGGUAACCUGCCCAUGAGACUGGGAUAACUCAGGGAAACCGGGGCCAAUACCGGAUAACAUUUUGAACCGCAUGGUUCGAAAUUGAAAGGCGGCUUCGGCUGUCAGUUAUGGAUGGACCCGCGUCGCAUUAGCUAGUUGGUGAGGUAACGGCUCACCAAGGCAACGAUGCGUAGCCGACCUGAGAGGCUGAUCGGCCACACUGGAACUGAGACACGGCCCAGACUCCUACGGGAGGCAGCAGUAGGGAAUCUUCCGCAAUGGACGAAAGUCUGACGGAGCAACGCCGCGUGAGUGAUGAAGGCUUUCGGGUCGUAAAACUCUGUUGUUAGGGAAGAACAAGUGCUAGUUGAAUAAGCUGGCACCUUGACGGUACCUAACCAGAAAGCCACGGCUAACUACGUGCCAGCCGCCGCAGUAA
rnacentral:rRNA from 1 species